rnacentral:rRNA from 1 species
GUCUAUGGCCAUGCUACCCUGAACAAGCCCGAUCCCAUCUGAUCUUGGAAACUAAGCAGGGUCGAGCCUGGUUAGUACUUGGAUGGGAGACCACCUAGGAAGACCAGGUGCUGUAGGCG